UAGAAAAAUAAGUUAACCCGUGACACUGGACCCAAAAAUGAGAGCCUCAUCCCUCUCAACCAUAGUCCAACACGGGCCUCGAGGGCGACCUCCUCGUUCAUUCUACGUUCGCGUGAAAACCUCCUUCCCCCUUCAUCAGUCGACGCCCCCAACAACAGCCAUGACAAUCCCAUCACUGCCAUUUUCUCCCAAACCCAUUUCCACCAUUCCCACUGACCAGUACCGAGAUCGACACCCUACAUUCGCUCCCUAAGACCCAGCUAGCUCGACCCUUGAACCAGAACCCACGAACCCAUCGCACAAGGCAACUCAGCCACGCUUCACCUCUCCUAGCUCGCACAACUCCAUCGAACGAGCUCACCAUCCCCUUCACCAAAUCGAUUUCCCUUUCCUAUUUCUCGUCUCAAACCCAUCAAAUCUCACCCCAACACCCAAGACCCUCGUUCUCCCACCACCUCCAUCGAAUCACUCACAGCUCCUAAAACCAGUUGCUCCCUUCGAUUUCAUGUCCCAAUAAUCGGUGGUCACCAGUGAUUUCAGCUGAUACCGAACAUUACCAGCGAAUCUACCCACCAGCUCACGUCACUGUAGUCCCUUUCGGUCUGUUCUUAGCCGCGCACCCAUUUCAGUGGGUCGUUGUCUCGACAACUGGUUGCUCAGCCGCACUCGACCAUACCUCCAUCGCCCCAGAUAUGCGUCACAGCAACCCAGCUGUUCGCCCAAGAAGACCUAGCCCCAUUUUCAAACUCUGCUUCAUGGGGGUAUGCUCCAGAUUUUCUACACUUUGUUUAUUAUUAUGUUUUAUUAUGGCUUUUAGAAACUGAGUUCUUGAUAUCGAUUAACCUGCUUGUUUUUAUUUUUUUUUCUUCCCUCUAUUAUUUAAUGUCGAUUUUGGGCAAAUCCUAUUGACAGUGGCAAAUGGUUGAUUAUUGAUUGUUGAAUGUUCAUUAACAAUCCGUAGGGCAGUUUUGUGAGACUGCCCUACUACUCUUCCCUCUAUCAGUUUGUUUGCAGUGGCGAGAUGCAGAUUUCUGUUUAUGUUUGAGUGUUGUUUGGAACUGUGAUUAUUGAUUUCAAUAGAUUUGGAUUUUGGUUGCUGUUUUUCAUCAUUAGGGUGACUUGGUGUAUGCACCGAUUGGUUCCCUGGUUAGAAUAGGAGCAUAGGUGUAUAGGGCAUCGUUUAGUUUGAAAAAGUAAAUCCGACUAAGAGAAAGUUUGAAAAAUAUUGAAAUCCAAACAAAUAAAAUUUUAAUAUUUUUUAGAAAUUUUAAGUCCUCAGAUUAAUUUACUCUAACUAAAUAAAACCUAAAUUUUCUUUUCUUUUCUUUUCCUAGAUAUUUUCCUAUUUUGCAGUUUUGAGAUUUAAACUUAUAUGAGUAUAUAUGUUUUUUUUUAAAAAAAAAAGAACUUAUGCAACUUGUCACUUAGUUUUUACCAUAAAGUGGAAAAAUGAGCAAAAAUAAAGUAUAAGGGUUAAAAUAAAUGGCUGCAAUGUCUGUGUAGGCCAGGAUGUUUUAUUUUAUUUUUUUUCUAAAUAAUCACUAAGAGAUAUAGGAUAUAAUUACGAUUAAGAUUUCUCUAUUGCUUCGAUAGAGCAAGAUGAGCACCUUUCUCUUCAUUCUUUUUCUAAUAAUACGGCUAUGUUUAGGUUUCCUCUCUCCGGAAACAUUUUCAAGAUUAAUUUUGAUACUACGACUGAUUAUAAUAGAUCCAGAGGUUCUUCCGCUGUUCUUACUAGAGAUUCAAGUGAGAAAUCAUGGUUUCGGCAUUAUAAGAAUUUUGAAAAUAUUUUUGAUCCACUUAGCUUAGAAUGUCUUUACUUAUCGAGAAGUUCUUUAUAGCACAUAAUCACAAUUUAGAGAUAUUGUGGUAGAAGAUGAUUCCUUGAUGGUGAGUCAACUUACUACUAGUCACAUUAUUCCCCUUAUUAUUCAUGGGUGGAUCAAGGAUAUUUAAGAACUUUCUAAACUUUUCAAAUCGAUCUCCUUCCUUCACAUUUGUAGUAAUAAGACGGCACAUUCUUUUAUCUCCAAAGUAUUUUAAGACCUCAAUUUCCUUUAUAAUCAAUAUUGUCAAUUGUGCUUUAUUUUUGAUAAUUUGCGUUCUUAAAUAUAUCAGUUAUUUUCUCUAAAAAAGCAUAGAAAAUCUCUGUAGAAUUUUUUUAUAGAUGUAAUAAAAGUGCACUUGUUAAUUGAAAUAAAAAUAUAGAAUUUUUGAUGUUUGAAAAAUAAUCUCUUUAAAUCAUUUUAACUCUUUUAAAAAUUUUAAAUAAAGUAAAACAAAAAAUAAAAAUUUUAGUUUGAAGGAGUGUUCUUAAAAAAAUUUUAAAUUUUUUGAAUAAAAAAAUGAAAAUAUAAUAAUCAUUGGUUUAAAAGAGAGUCUCCUUAAACCAUUUUAGUCAUUUUAAAUAAUUUAAAUAGUAAAAUUUUAAAUUAAAAGUUUUUACUUGAUGCGGAGCAUUUUGAACUUAUUUAAAUAUUUUAAUAAUAAAAUUUAAAAUAUAAAAUUUUAGUUUAAAAGAGUCUUCUUUAAACCAUCUUAAAAAAUAAUAAAAAAAUUUAAAUAUUUUGAUUUGAAGGUUUAAUUUUUUUACAAAAUUAUUAAAAUAUACAAUUUAAAUUGGUUCAGAGGAGAGUUUUCCUUAAACCAUUUAAAAUUUUAAUAAUAAAAAUUGAAAGUAUAAAAGUGUUGGUUUGAAGGAGAGUCUCCUUAAACAUUUAAAAUUUUAAUAAUAAAAAAUUAAAGUAUAAAUAUUUUAGUUUGAAGGAGAAUUCACCUUGAACCACUUUAAAAGUUGAUAAUAAAAAUAAAAUCUUAAAAUAUAAAUAUUUUCAUGAUGUGUUCGAAAAUGAGUUAAAACAUAUAAUUAGUCAAUAUGCAAAAAGAGAAAAAGUGAGAUAGUUGGUAUCUGUGAACAGCCACUCCGACGUUUAAGCCAGUAAUUUGCUAGAAAUGACGAGUAUAAUAAAUAUAUUGAGCUUAGAAUGAAUAUGUAAAAAUGCGUAUUUUGAAUUCUGUAUAUGCUUUGCUUUUAUAUCGUAAGAAAUUAUAGUUAGCUAGCGAAUUUCUUAGAAACUCGACUGGUACCGGUUAGUAAAUAAGGGAUCAUGUGAUUAUAGGCGUAAAGAGUAUCUGUUGGAUUAUAUCCAUUAACGGUAAAUUUAUACCAUGAAAGACUUAACUAGCUUAGGAGGGAGAGAGCCUCCGUUUCGAGUAUCGACCAUCGUGAUAUUCGAGUCUUCUUUCUUAUAGGUGAGACUUUCGCAACCGCGUAUCAUAGCUUAUUAAGGUAUUCCCACGUAGCUCUGUCAUAUAGUGAUAGUUCAUAACAUACUUUAAGCGAUUAUUAUAUUAUAUUAGAGGUUCUCUUACUGGUCUUCAACUCUUCAUAUUUGGAGAUUACAGUUGUUAUGAUGACACGUAGCACGUACGAAUGGGCUUUCCAUACCCAUGUCCCUUCCAUGUUUCUUAACAUAAAUGCUGAUUGUCUUGCUUCUCGAGCUGCAUUUAAACUUGCCAUCGAAACUAUAAUAUAAAAACCCUCCUUUCUCCUCUGAUUACGCUUUUGCUCUCAACUGCUCUCUACUCAUUAGAAAAGACUCGACUACUCAGUUUCUUACUCUCACAUUUUCUAAAGGUAAUUCUCAUUUCUCUCAUUUUCAAUAUUUUCCAAGAUGAAUAUUUCUUCAUCUUCUUCGUCAUCUUCUCCUUGCAGAAGUUCCACUUCAAGCUCUUUUUUCGACAGCCCCAUCCGUACAUGUACCUGCUCCUAUUAUUUCGUUGAGAGCGGUUCAUGAAAACGAUAGUCUCCUAGUGAACGAUAUUCCGUCCAUGUUGACUGAGAAAGAUGUGGACUAUCUGUCUCACCACUAUUAUAUCUCUCGAGAUCUCUUUCAGGUUUAUGCUCCAAACCGAAUGUUUGCACGGACGACCAAAUCUCAGCUGAGGAUACAAUUAUGGUAUAUGAAGAACAACUAAAAGUGGGUCUUUGGUUCCCUAUAGACCCGUUCUCCGUUAAAAUCUUCUGAUUCCAUAAGCUUGCAGUCUCCCAACUGCAUCCAAACAGCUAGAGGUGUAAUACCCGGCUAGACUCCGGUAUCGAAAUUCCUACCGUCCGGUGGAAUCUCGGAUGUUGGAGACCUCUAGAAGGGGUAAAACCAUGUUCUCAUAAAAUGUUUUAAUGUGUUUUAUGGUUUUAAGUAAAAAGGAAAUGAGUUUUUGCAUGAAAAGAACCUUGGAGGAAAACUCAGGUUCGGCCGCCGAAACUCAAGUUCCGCCGCCGAACAUGCAGGCAUUUCGGGUGUGCCUUAGGCCCCCGAAGGCAUAAGUGAGGAAGUCCAGGUUCGGCCGCCGAACCUCAAGUUCGGCCGCCGAACAUGGCAUGCAUGCGGAGGCACGUUCGGCCCCCGAAUGUGGCCUGGCCAGCCACUAUAAAAGGGUCCCUUAGCCAAAAACGGGCGAGCUUUUUCCCCAUUUUCGGCCAAGGUGAGUUCUCUGCCGUCCCUCACCAAUCUUUGAUGUUUUUCCUCUAGAUCUUUCAAGAUUUUCAUUUGUUUUAACUUUGUUUUGAAGAUUUGAGCUUUUGAGCAAAGUUUUGGAGUUUGGAGGUUCAAGAACCCAAUCUCUCCCAACUUCGAGUUUAGGUCGUCUCUCUCUCGAUCUUCAAGAGGUAAGAGUCGAUCUUAAGCUCAUUGCAUGUUUUAAGUAAGCUUUAAGUAGAUCUAUGGGUUAGAAUGCAUGUUUAGGUUAUGGUUAUGUUUUUGGAGUUUAUGGGUUUUAUGUGUGUUCAUGAACAAUGUGAGUUGCUUGAUGUGUUGUAGAUGGGGUUUAUGAUGGUUUGAGACCCCUAGGAACAUGUAUGGUUGUGUAUGUGUGUUGUAGAAUAGGUUUGAUGCAUGUUUGGAAGGUUUGGAGGCGAAAUGUGCAAAAGGAGCCAAGUUUCUGCCCUUUGGCAGAAACCAGGUUCGACAGCCGAAGGACUUUCGGCCGCCGAACACGGCUGGGGAGGCAAGCCUUUCGGCUGCCGAAGCCUGCACCCGAAAGGAGACUUUCGUCUCUGUCUGGCAGUUUCGGCCGCCGAAAGUGCCGCCGAACAUGCAUGAGUUUCGUCUCUGUCUGGGAGUUUCGGCCGCUGAAGGUGCCGCCAAACCUACCUGACUUUCGGCUCUGGAGGGACUUUCGACCGCCGAACCUGCCGCCGAAAGUGCCCUGUCCAGGCCUCCUUUGCAUGUUUUUCUAUGGUUGUUUCAUGAUGUUUUAGGGGGUUUUUGGGGAGUAGCUUAUAGUUAUGUUCAGGUGUGUUUGGUCCCUCAUUUGAGUCCACCUGUAUAGGUUCGGACCCGAGGAACCGAGGACUCCAGCAGUGAGUUCAGCUGCUUCGGUGUUGUCAGAGUCAGCCAGAGGUGAGUGGAACUAAACUUAAUCUUUUAAAUUGAGAAAUUAAAUGUUUUAUCAUGUUUCAUGCAUCAUGAUUAUGCAAUAGGAUGAUUGCAUUAGUUUUCACGAAUAUGCCGCAUUGCAUCGAUUGUUGUUGAUGUGGGUGAAUAUUGGAUGACCCAAUUAGUCCAUGACAGGAAGACCAGGACCCCAUUCUAUGGCCUGGCACAGAGUAAGGAAAGACCAGGACUUUAUUCUAUGGCCUGGCACGGUUAUGGGACUCGAAGACCAGGAGCCUAGAGGAGGCCCUGGGGUAAUGGUAAGUAAUGUAUGUUAUGACAGGAAGACCAGGACCCCAUGCUACGGCCUGGCACAGAGUUUGCUUGGACUAAUUGGUGACAAGUUCACCCAACCCUUAUGUGAAUUGUCUGUGUUAUGAUGCAUUUCAUCGAGCAUAGUGUUGAUAUGUUUUAUAGUUCUGCUCACUGGGCUUUUAACUCACCCCUCUCCCUUUACCCCCAGGCUUGCAGGUGCAGGAUAUAGCAGGAGUCCGGAUAGAGUAAUGAAGUCUUGGUUAUGUAAUAGUUAGCGUGGACAUGAUGAAUGAUUAUGAUGUAAUGUAAAAGUACAGUUAGAUAUGUAAUGAGAUGAUGUUUAUGGAUGUUAGAAGUGUGCUUGACCAUAGAUUAUUGUUAUCCCUUUUAUUACAUGAUCUUAGAGACUUUUAUGAUGUUUAUGUAAACCAACUCAACAUAUGUUAUGUCACCCAUUGGGGGCACUGAUGAGAUCCCACAGAGGGAUCAAUGUUAUGUUAAUGUAUAUGCACAGGUUGAGUUUGGUUGAUGUAUUUGGAAAGAAAAGUUUUAAUUUUUUUUGUAUGUUGUUGAUCAUGUAUGGGAUUAUACAGGUUUACAGGCUAUAUGUCAGGCUUGCUACGGGUCCCGGCGGCCUUAAGCCGAUCUGGAUCCUAGCGCCGGUAGCGGUCCGAUUUCCGGAUCGUUACAAGAGGAUUCUGGUGGCUUUUUGCUUCUUCUGCUUCAAUAAGAACAUCAAGCCGAGUGUUGCACUUUUCUCCCAACUGUACUAACUGGGUACCUAGAGAAACAAAGAAUUUUGGUUCUUCAACAGAAAGAAGCGUCAGACUCUUUUUUACUGAAUAACCUUCUCUUUGAAGCACUAAAAAAAU
rnacentral:lncRNA from 1 species